GGUGUAGUGUGUGAAUGUGUAGGGUGUGUGGGCAGUGUAUGUGUGUGGCAAUGUUAGUAUGGGGGGCUGUGUAUGGGGGUCUGUGUGUAUAUGGGUGGGCAGUGUAUGUGUGUGUGUGAGGCAAUGUGUGUAAAUGUGUAUGGUGUGUAUGGGGGCAGUGUGUGAAUGUGUUUGGUGUGUGUGUGGGGGCAGUGUGUUUAUGGGGCUAGAGUUCACUCUCACCACUGCGACCACCAGGAAUCCAUGGGGGUUACAGUGUUGAGAGUGAACUCUAGCCCGUAGCUCCAGG